CAUGUCUAUUUUUGUCGAAUGUUUACUUUGAAUCACGAGGGUUGAAAUUAUGACAAUUAUGUUCCUGAGAAUGAUUACUUCCUUACAGAGUUACCGUUAGUGAUGCUCAGAUCAAAAUGAGUAUAUCUUUUAGAAGUUUUGAUUGAAACAUAAUUAAUAGUGAUUAUAGAAACUAGAGAGAAAUAGUGAAGGUUAUGGUUUGUAAACCUUGGCCUCCAAAUCUCUUGUACAGAGAUGGUGAAAAUACUUAUGGGGAAAAAAUCCUUCCAAUUCUGAACCCCCUCUCACUCUCCUUGUUUCUAUUUUCAGAAAUUCUCGUUGGGGAAGGCUUGUUGAUGGCUUUGAGGACCCCUUAAACCUGAGUCAAUUCCUGAGUAAAAUUAUACAAUACAAGAUGUAUAAGACGCUCAUACAUCAACUUCUUGUAGACACGUGAGACGAAGGCAAUGAGCACGGAUACAUUGGCUGUUUAUUUCAGAGGCAGAAAAUGCUAAAUCAAAAGCCUUUCCCAAGUCAAUGAAUCACAUGAAAGCAAACCAAGAGUAUGCCUGCAAUGGGAUAUGGUCUAUGGUCUUCAAGAACUGUUACACUUUGCUACAACAAGAAAGAAUAAUGAGUUAUUAAAGUGUCCAAUCCAAAACAAAUCUUGAAAUACAAGUCCAAAGUUGUUCAUAUAUCAAUACUCAUUCAAAGUUGAGAUGAAUACCUCAGCAUCGACGAGGUGUUUUCAGACCACAUUUAGCGGGCAAGGCCAAUGCAUUUUUUGGGUUGAUCCCAGCUGCAGGUAAUAGAGACUUGUAACUGCAAAGACAAGGCAGAUUGGCUUGCUUAAUGAUUGCACAACAUCUCUUCGUUGGCGGUGGCGGGUAUCUCCCAGUAAUCGCUGCACGGCACAAGUUCAGCCUAGAUGUUUCAACGUUACAUAUCACAACAGCUUGGGCACCACCCAACAAGGCAAUGAGCAGUGCUGCUACCAGCCACUUCACCAAAGCUUUGCCACUAGCCUGACCCAUACUUUCCUUAACCAGGUAGAACUCAGAAGCAGUGAAUUAGCUAGGUCUAGCUGAUAAUGUUCUCAUGUCUGAAUGUUAAUUUAUAGAGAAUUCUUAGUGUUGUGUUGGAACAUUUUGCCUUAGUUUAGUUUAGCAUCAAAAGUUCUCUUUGUUUUAGGUGUGUCAUGUGAAGCCAGACUGUAGAGAGGUUCACGAGAUGGGUUUACUUGAAAAUUAAAAGGAGGGAUCAUAAUCAUAAGCAAGCAAACAAACAAAACUUAAUCUGGCCCAUCACUUGCUAACAAACAAAAAUGGGUUAUUUUGUUUGAGAGUCACCAAGCAACUUAAUUAUUCUUUAUGUCUUCCUGCAAUAGUUUGCUCUUGUUAGGUUUUCAUGGUCAGAGAUUGCUUGCUUACUGGAUGCUAGCUAGCCCGUGAAAGCAUAUUACUGAAUUAGAAAAAGGAAUCGUUUUGUUUUGAAGUGAAGCUAGCAGAUUAACAAUGCAAAGCUAUUUGUUGUAUUACUAGGCCCCCGGAAUUGCUGGAAUGAUUGGACACGCGAAUGAAAAUGAGUAUGAAUUUGGUUGAACAAAA